GAAAAAAUCACCAAACUUUUUCACUAUCUUGAAUCCUCCUCUCCCCUUUCUUUUGUUGGGCCUUUUUUCGUUUGCUUUCUUUUUUCUGGGUGUCGUUGCAUCUUCGAUGCUCAUCACAAAAACGCCCGCUUUUCGUGAAUAAUUCUUUUAUUUUUGGGAAUAAUUCUUUGUACUUAGACAAUUUCUUUGGCCAACUUGGUUAAGCUAACCUUAGUUGUUUUCAUUUUAUGUAUAUAGGAAUAGGUGUUUGUGCAUAUUUGUUACUUGUUGAAUGGCUUAAGUUGAUGGGUCUCUGGUUUUGUGAUUUAUGCUUUGGUAGAGUAAUGGAUUUGAAACCUGGAGCUGGAGGGCAGAGAGUUAAUCGUUUAGUGGAUCCGAUUAGUUAUCAUUUUCUUCAAUUUCUGUGGCGUACUCUACAUCUUCUUGUCAGCUUAUGGUACCUUCAAGUUAGUAUGGUCCAAAUGAUCGAAGGCUUUCUAAUCUCUAGUGGACUUGUGAAACGCUAUGGAGCCCUCGAUAUUGACAAGGUCCGGUACCUUGCCAUUGUGGUAGAUAGUGAAGAAGCUUACCAAAUUUCUAAAGUUAUUCAGCUUUUGAAAUGGGUGGAAGAUAUGGGUGUGAAACAUUUAUGCCUCUAUGAUUCAAAAGGAGUUCUCAAGACAAACAAGAAAACCAUCAUGGAGAGUUUGAACAAUGCUAUGCCAUUUGAGGAAGCAGUUGAAAAAGAUGUUUUACUGGACCAGAAACAGAUGACUGUGGAAUUUGCUUCCAGCUCCGAUGGAAAGGAAGCAAUAACCAGGGCAGCUAACGUACUCUUUAUGAAGUAUUUGAAGUAUGCUAAAACUGGUGUAGGAAAGGAAGAACCAUGCUUUACAGAAGAUCAAAUGGAUGAGGCACUAAAAGCUAUAGGUUACAAAGGGCCGGAACCUGACUUGCUAUUAAUUUAUGGACCUGUUAGAUGCCAUCUAGGUUUCUCACCGUGGAGACUUCGAUAUACUGAGAUGGUGUAAGUGUUCUGAUUCAAUAGGUUGAUCAAGUUAGUGGCAUUAAUUUUGUCAGUUAUUCCAUUUGGCUGUUAAAGCUGGGGUAUCAUAGCUAUUUCAAAUUAUACUGCCAGUUCAAGGUGAAGGAAAUGUUUCCACAUGAAGCCAAAUACUUCAUGGUUCAUACUUCAUACUUCUUUGGUGGAUGGUACAUCUGACAUUGCACCCAUCAAUCAUUCUUGUUCUCCUUCUCUUCAACAGUCAACAGCAUUCAACUUAAUUGAUAGUAUGAAGUCUUAAUUUAUAAUAUGAAAUCAGCUAUUAAUUUUAGAUUUUAUUUUGUUUCUCUUUUUGAUAGGAGAACUCAACAAUGAUUAAAAUGUUAAUAUCUGCCAUUUUUCUGUUUGUGGUUGUUGUAAGUUGGAGGGGCAUGUAAAAAUAUUAACUAAGUUCUGGAUGAUGUUAUUUGGAAAGUUUAAUGUGUUAUUAACAUAUCAUCUUAGUUGUGAAAUUGACAGGGUUUGAAACUCGACAAUUUGUUGUUCUUGUUAUUUAAUUGUAUUCAAAUUUGAAAUUUGAUUUUAUAAUCAUUUUUCAUGUUUUGGCUCUUUUACUUUGGGUGUGCAUGUGUGUGUCGAUUGGUUUGG
rnacentral:misc_RNA from 1 species